UACGUAGGUGGCAAGCGUUGUCCGGAUUUAUUGGGUUUAAAGGGUGUGUAGGCGGUUCUUUAAGUUUGGUGUGAAAUCUCCCGGCUCAACUGGGAGGGUGCGCCGAAUACUGAGGGACUAGAGUACGGGAGAGGAAAGUGGAAUUCCUGGUGUAGCGGUGAAAUGCGUAGAUAUCAGGAGGAACACCGGUGGUGUAGACGGCUUUCUGGACCGUAACUGACGCUGAGACACGAAAGCGUGGGUAGCAAACAGG
rnacentral:rRNA from 1 species